rnacentral:tRNA from 3 species
GGGCUUGUAGCUCAGGUGGUUAGAGUGCACGCCUGAUAAGCGUGAGGUCGGAAGUUCAACUCUUCCCAAGCCCACCA